AAUUGAAGGAUUACAACGAUUCUUAGAGGAAGCGAGUCCAAACAGAGAUCGCAAUGAAUUCACGAGUCAGUAGCUAAGCGAACAGCUUUGGAGAGACUCGAAACCAACUACACUCAGCCGACUUCCAUUAACUCAAAAUACAAUUCAGAAAAAAUGAACUCACACUUCAAGUUUAAACCAUAUUCACCAUGAGAAUGAAAACAUCUGAACUUUAAGAUGAAAAGAACAAAAUUUUGUCACUGGAAUUAAACCAAGAUGGUUUUAGAUAAAAAUGAAAAGAAAAGCUUCAUUCGAAUUCUCAUUUCCAGGUGACCUCUCUUCUCUCCAAAAAAUCCCCCAAAUAAAUACCCAGAAUUUUCUGUCAUUAAAAUCAGAUGAGGUCCCUUUUUGAAAAUGAACCCCUGAUGAAUAUGGGGCUCGGAUUGAAUUAAUCAAUCCAAUUCCUCACACUCAUCCAACGAAUCAUUCUCAGAACCUUCCAAUCGCGUGUUACAUCUCAACAUCAGGCAAGUGAGAGGAGGGAGAAUAUUUGAUGUCAAAAACUGUUAGAAAUGGCAAGAGGAGAGAAGGAGAAAUGCGUGGUUAUGGGAUUGGAAUCACUCGCCAUGGAUUUGGGUGAUUUAGGGUCUGAUUUGUGUGAGGAAGGCGAGUGAAUAGUGUUGGC
rnacentral:lncRNA from 1 species